AGAAGCUCUGUCAGCCAGAAGGGAGAGCGAGCAGUCAGGAGCAGAGGACAAGAGCAGUCUGAGCUCCAGCCUGUCCUCAAGGUCACACCAUGAGGAUGAGCAGGAAGAGUCCUUAGGGGAGAUCAGUCCGCCGUGCAUCUGUACGAUGUGUGAACAGGAGGACUCCCUUCUGAAGACAAAGAAGCAGUGUAAGAACUGCGGCGGGGUUUUCUGUGAGAGCUGUGUGUCCAACGAGCUGCCGUUACCUUCCUCCAUCCUCCCAGAGACUGUGUGUACCUCCUGCUUCUCUCUGUUGCUCCAACAAUACGCUUCAACACCAACCUGAAACAACUCCGCAUUUUACUACAGGACACCAUGAUCGGACACAUGGAAACCGAGGCAUUCAAUACAAAGCUGGCACUGCAAAAAUGCACUUUUUGACUUUGUGUCCUGAGACGUUAUGAAAAAUCUGAUGGCGAUCCGAAGGAGGUCUGAACUCUAAUGUCCAAACAUGUGCCAAUUAGAGCUGUUUUUUUUGGAGGCAGGUUUUUAUUCUUUCAGAUACUGUUGUUAUCUGUUAUUCUUCCUCCGGGAAAACCUGCACUCAAAAAGCUGUCAAAUGGCACCUGGAUUGAAAUGUAUAGAAAAAGUCAACUUGAAUCAUCUCAUCUCGUGCAUGAAAACUGACUCUGCACAAUGUCCACUAAGUGGAUGGUUGAUUAAGAAGGUCAACUGUUAUAUUUAUAUUAAAAGUAAUUAGGUUUUAAAAUACAAGACUUUUUUGUUGUUUUAGUCACAACUGUUCUCCACCGCUCUAAAUCAUAUACAGAUCAGUAAAAGAUCCAGUGGAUUAGAUGAAGCAUGAAGUUUCACACUUUUGACCAAAUACUUUAUGAAACAUUGUAUUUAAAAUGUGUCAAUAUUUGGAGAAAGCUUUAUUAUCCACUCUAAAUUUGAAUUUAAAGAAAUUCUAUUAAUACAUGUGUCAAGUCUAAUGAGUAAUUUUAAGACUAGAAAAAAUACAAAUAUUUAAGAUGUAGGCUACUGUAUCACAAUGGCAAAUUGCUAGUCUGUGCCGUGUUUCUUAUCACAAUAUCAUUAUGUGAUGGAGACUUCACACUGUGCUGUUCAGACUGUAGAGUGGAGUAUGCUGUUUGACAUUUUGGGCAGUGUGCUGAUUCUGUCUUGCAAUGAGUUAAUGACAAAAUCGUUACAACUACAUUCAAUAUGAAGCUACAGUCAGCAGCAGGUUAGCUUAGCUUAGCACAAAGACUAGAAUUGGUAUAUAUAUUUUGUUUUAUAGUACGAAAACAGAUAAAGUGUAAAAAUGAUGGUAUGGGGGGACUCUUUUUUUCCUGGGCACAGUAAAUUCCUUUAGUGUUGAAUGUGUUUUAGUGACUUUUAGAAUUACUGGAAGGCAAACCUUUGGACUGAGUCAGAUAGUCUUUAUGCUCGGCUAAGCUAACAUGCUAGUGGCUGUAGCUUCUUCAGAUAUAAUCGUAUUUCCCAUGAUGCCACACUAAGUUUACAAAGCUGAAUAUUCUUGGUAAAAUAUUUAUUUACUAUUGUGUUCAGUAUUAGUUAGGAGUGGCAUUAACACAUUUUCUUAAAGACCCUGUUCGGCAGUUGAGGUUAUUGUUUUCUGGAUAAUUUACCUUUCUUUUCUGGACAUCUAAACAUAUUACGGCACUUUUAAAAGCAUGGCUCUGGCUGUACUGAAUAGGGCUUAUAGCUGCAACAGCUUUUUUAUGUUUUGAUUUAUAUGAAGAAAAAUUAGAAGCUCAGUAAAACAGCUUAUUGUUCUUGUUGAAGCUCUUUAACACAUGAGAUGGAAAUGCGUGUUAGAUGAUCAACAAUAAACUUUUAUUAAAUGUUACUGUUUGAAUGGAU